rnacentral:ncRNA from 1 species
GAUCAAGCGUUAAAGGGCUUCUAACGGAUGCCUUGGCGUAGAGAGGCGAAGAAAGACGUGGCAAGCUGCGAUAAGAUACGGGGAGGCGCUAGCACCCUUUGAUCCGUAUAUUUCUGAAUGGGGAAACCCACCUUUGAUUGCCCUCUCAUUUUAAGUGAACUGAGCGAAGCUUAGUGGUCACGGUUUUCCGAACCCCUUGGGGUGAGGCAAGGCCGACCGGCCGCCCGAGCCUAUGCGAGGUUCUUUGUCGUGCUUGCACGACGCUUAAAA